ensembl:lncRNA
AAAUCACCAACCUUCCAGUUGGUAAAUAACCUGCUCCAAGACAUCCCAACUGCAGGUCAGAAUAUACUUGAUGCUGCAGCCUGCUGAGCCAGCCUACUUCAUACAGGAUAGAGGGGUGUAGCUGUAGGAACCCCAGAGUGCACCAAGACGCUCCAGUCCUCCAGGUGGAAAGAGUAGUGGAAUAUCUGGUGAACCUGAGCCUGCUGCUCAACCACAGAGACCCAUACCUCCAGGUGGACCAACCACCAACAUAUUUGGGCCUGCAGUCACUGCACCUGCACAAAGUCCAAGCUGAAGCCCCCCAAAUAAGCCAAAGUCUGACAGCAGUGGGGAGGAAAGACCUGCGAAAGACCUGGAAAGACCCACAUCGUGGGUGCUGCAGCCUGCCACUGAAGGAGCUGCUCAGUGGGAGAUGUUGUCCAACAGGGAUGACAGCUUAGCCACCAUUCUCCUGUCACUCACCACCUCCACUGGGUCCAGAGGGUAUCCUAGAACAGAGCUAUUGUAGAUGUCUGUGAUUACUAAUCAGCAAAGGACAAUCUAAGUGUGGGACCUGACCCUGAAUCACCAGCUCACAGCCAGAGAGAGAGAGAGCUUAAUUUUAGAUGUCAAAAAGUAUGACGUCACAACAUUCUGAUUGGUCACUUGCAAUGUUGAUCCUGGAACAACAUUUAAUAUGGUGAUCUGGGAACAACACCAACACGACGGUAUCAGAUCGCCGGCAGCCAGCUGUGCCAGAGUGACCGAGCCCCAGGCCGAGGGCACCCCACCCCCGAAGUGGCCGAGCGAGCCCCAGGCUCCAGGCCCCAACAAGCCUAUUUAAUCAUGUCUUAAUUUUCCUGUUUCUAUUGUAAAGCACUUUGGUGUACCGCUGGUUCUUUAAAUCUGUUAUAUAAAUAAAGUUGUAUUGUAUUGUAUAGUCUCAAUAAAUUGGCCUCCAUCUCUGCAUUUUUUUUUUACAUUUAUUAGUUUCACUUAGAAUCAGAAUGCGAAUACUUUAUUGAUCCCUUUGGAGAAAUUAUUUUGGUUACAGUGCUCCAGUACAAACAGUAACAAAGACAGAACAAUACACUAAGUAAGAAAUAGCACAAUAUAUAUAUACAC